GACAGAGGGUGCAAACGUUGUUCGGAAUUACUGGGCGUAAAGCGCGCGUAGGCGGUUGCUUAAGUCGGAUGUGAAAGCCCUUGGCUUAACCGAGGAAGUGCAUCCGAAACUGAGCAGCUAGAGUACGAAAGAGGGUCGCGGAAUUCCCGGUGUAGAGGUGAAAUUCGUAGAUAUCGGGAGGAACACCAGUGGCGAAGGCGGCUUCCUGGCCUGUUCUUGACGCUGAGGCGCGAAAGCUAGGGGAGCAAACGGG
rnacentral:rRNA from 1 species